rnacentral:rRNA from 1 species
AACGAACGCUGGCGGCAUGCCUAACACAUGCAAGUCGAACGAACCCUUCGGGGUUAGUGGCGCACGGGUGCGUAACGCGUGGGAACCUGCCUUUAGGUUCGGAAUAACUCAGAGAAAUUUGAGCUAAUACCGGAUGAUGUCUUCGGACCAAAGAUUUAUCGCCUUUUAGAUGGGCCCGCGUUAGAUUAGAUAGUUGGUGGGGUAAUGGCCUACCAAGUCGACGAUCUAUAGCUGGUCUGAGAGGAUGAUCAGCCACACUGGGACUGAGACACGGCCCAGACUCCUACGGGAGGCAGCAGUGGGGAAUAUUGGACAAUGGGCGAAAGCCUGAUCCAGCAAUGCCGCGUGAGUGAUGAAGGCCUUAGGGUUGUAAAGCUCUUUUACCAGGGAUGAUAAUGACAGUACCUGGAGAAUAAGCUCCGGCUAACUCCGUG